AUUGAACGCUGGCGGCAGGCCUAACACAUGCAAGUCGAACGGUAGCACAGAGAGCUUGCUCUCGGGUGACGAGUGGCGGACGGGUGAGUAAUGUCUGGGAAACUGCCCGAUGGAGGGGGAUAACUGCUGGAAACGGUAGCUAAUACCGCAUAACGUCACAAGACCAAAGUGGGGGACCUUCGGGCCUCACACCAUCGGAUGUGCCCAGAUGGGAUUAGCUAGUAGGUGGGGUAAUGGCUCACCCAGGCGACGAUCCCUAGCUGGUCUGAGAGGAUGACCAGCCACACUGGAACUGAGACACGGUCCAGACUCCUACGGGAGGCAGCAGUGGGGAAUAUUGCACAAUGGGCGCAAGCCUGAUGCAGCCAUGCCGCGUGUAUGAAGAAGGCCUUCGGGUUGUAAAGUACUUUCAGCGGGGAGGAAGGCGGUGAAGUUAAUAACUUCACCGAUUGACGUUACCCGCAGAAGAAGCACCGGCUAACUCCGUGCCAGCCGCCGCAGUAA
rnacentral:rRNA from 1 species